ACUGAGACACGGCCCAGACUCCUACGGGAGGCAGCAGUGGGGAAUAUUGCACAAUGGGCGAAAGCCUGAUGCAGCGACGCCGCGUGAGGGAUGACGGCCUUCGGGUUGUAAACCUCUUUCAGCAGGGAAGAAGCGAGAGUGACGGUACCUGCAGAAGAAGCGCCGGCUAACUACGUGCCAGCAGCCGCGGUAAUACGUAGGGCGCAAGCGUUGUCCGGAAUUAUUGGGCGUAAAGAGCUCGUAGGCGGCUUGUCGCGUCGGAUGUGAAAGCCCGGGGCUUAACUCCGGGUCUGCAUUCGAUACGGGCAGGCUAGAGUUCGGUAGGGGAGAUCGGAAUUCCUGGUGUAGCGGUGAAAUGCGCAGAUAUCAGGAGGAACACCGGUGGCGAAGGCGGAUCUCUGGGCCGAUACUGACGCUGAGGAGCGAAAGCGUGGGGAGCGAACAGGAUUAGAUACCCUGGUAGUCCACGCCGUAAACGUUGGGAACUAGGUGUGGGCGACAUUCCACGUCGUCCGCGCCGCAGCUAACGCAUUAAGUUCCCCGCCUGGGGAGUACGGCCGCAAGGCUAAAACUCAAAGGAAUUGACGGGGGCCCGCACAAGCGGCGGAGCAUGUGGCUUAAUUCGACGCAACGCGAAGAACCUUACCAAGGCUUGACAUACACCGGAAACCUCUGGAGACAGGGGCCCCCUUGUGGUCGGUGUACAGGUGGUGCAUGGCUGUCGUCAGCUCGUGUCGUGAGAUGUUGGGUUAAGUCCCGCAACGAGCGCAACCCUUGUUCUGUGUUGCCAGCAUGCCUUUCGGGGUGAUGGGGACUCACAGGAGACUGCCGGGGUCAACUCGGAGGAAGGUGGGGACGACGUCAAGUCAUCAUGCCCCUUAUGUCUUGGGCUGCACACGUGCUACAAUGGCCGGUACAAUGAGCUGCGAAGCCGUGAGGUGGAGCGAAUCUCAAAAAGCCGGUCUCAGUUCGGAUUGGGGUCUGCAACUCGACCCCAUGAAGUCGGAGUCGCUAGUAAUCGCAGAUCAGCAUUGCUGCGGUGAAUACGUUCCCGGGCCUUGUACACACCGCCCGUCACGUCACGAAAGUC
rnacentral:rRNA from 1 species